AUGUCUACAUCAGAGGGUUCGGAGAGUGCUGAUUCCAUGGAUGAGGAUAUGAGUCAAAUACCACAUGCUAGAAGGUCCAAGGUAUGUGAGCAUUAUGAAGUAGAUCUGGUUCUCGUAGAUGGUGAUCUCAAGGCUGUGUGCAAAUACUGUGGAGUGCAACUUCACACCAAGUUUGGGACAAGCAGUUUGAGGACUCAUAUUGCAAAGGCUUGCCGAUCAAUCCGGUUGCUUGCAGGAAGAGGUUUUUGUUGA
rnacentral:rRNA from 1 species